rnacentral:misc_RNA from 1 species
AACACUUGGUUUUCUCCCGAAGAAUAUUUCAAAAGGUGUCUUUCUCUCUAUAGUAUUUGCCAGUAUUCGAUUCUUCAAGUAUACCGCUGUCCAAUCUAUUUCCAGCCAGUACCUUUUAUGUACUUUCGCUUCCGCUAACAAGCAACGUCCAUCACUGUUCUAUUAUACCUUUCCGUUGUCCCGUUUAAUUCAUGUACGUAGGUUGGGCAAUUAUUUAUUCUGAUACCUUUAUCCCUAGCAAAUUUAUAAAUUCGAUUAUUCAAAUACUCUUUUCCAUUAUCACAUCUCAAUA